GGUGGCUCAGCGGUAGAGCGCUUGUCUUGCAUGCAUGAGGCCCUGGGUUCGAUUCCUCAGCACCA
rnacentral:tRNA from 1 species